rnacentral:rRNA from 1 species
AGUAACUGCGAGUGAAAAGGGAUAAGCUCAGCGCUGAAUCUCUGUGGUUUAAUUACUGCAGCGAACUGUAGCGUAUAGGAAUAUACUAUGGCAUUAUGUAGAUAUCUAAGUUCUCGUUGAUUCGAGUUCCAAAGAAGGUUUAAGACCUGUAAGGUAUUUAACAUUAUGUCAAUUGGUUUAUUCUUACGAGUCGGGUUGUUUGGAAACGCAGCCCAAAGUAGGUGGUAAACUCCAUCUAAAGCUAAAUAUAACCGUGAGACCAAUAGUAAACAAGUACCGUGAGGGAAAGUUGAAAAGCACUCUGAAGAGAGAGUUAAAAGAACGUGAAAACGAUUAAGUGGAAGCAAACAGGUCUAUUGAGAGGUGUGUAGUUUUCUAURYAUCUGCUAAUACAUAUGUGGAGUUUCUAUUAUUCUAUUUUAAGAGGACUCACAUAUGUGAGAACCCUUAUAAUGGUUGAACGUUAUCUCCCUAUAUGAAUAUUAGCAUUUAUGAUAGUUACCUGUUUGACCCGUCUUGAAACACGGACCAAGAAGUUUAUUGUAUACGCRAGUCAUUAAGUGUUAAAACUUAUUGGCAUAAUGAAAGUAAAGGUUCACUUGUUGAGCURAUGUAUGAUAAAGUGUUUACGGACAUUUUAGCAGUACAGUCCUAUUCUUAUGGCUUGCCAUGGAGUGGAGAUAGAGCGUAUGCAAUGAGACCCGAAAGAUGGUGAUCUAUGCUUGAGCAGGAUGAAGCCGGAGGAAACUCUGGUGAAAGUCCGUAACGGUUCUGACGUGCAAAUCGAUCGUCUGACUUGAGUAUAGGGGCGAAAGAC